rnacentral:rRNA from 1 species
GAUGAACGCUGGCGGCGUGCCUAAUACAUGCAAGUCGAGCGAACGGACGAGAAGCUUGCUUCUCUGAUGUUAGCGGCGGACGGGUGAGUAACACGUGGAUAACCUACCUAUAAGACUUGGAUAACUUCGGGAAACCGGAGCUAAUACCGGAUAAUAUUUUGAACCGCAUGGUUCAAAAGUGAAAGACGGUCUUGCUGUCACUUAUAGAUGGAUCCGCGUUGCAUUAGCUAGUUGGUAAGGUAACGGCUUACCAAGGCAACGAUGGAUAGCCGACCUGAGCGGGAGAUCGGCCACACUGGAAGUGAGACAGGGCCCCGACACCUACGGUGGGAAGCGGUAGGGAAUCUUACGCAAGGGAGGAGAGCGGAACGGAGCAACGCGGCGUGAGUGAUGAAGGUCUUCGGAUCGUAAAAUUAUGUUAUUAGGGGAGAACAUAUGUGUAAGUAACUGUGCACAUAUUGACGGUACCUAAUCAGAAAGCCACGGCUAACUACGUG